GACGAACGCUGGCGGCGUGCUUAACACAUGCAAGUCGAACGGUAAGGCCCUUCGGGGUACACGAGUGGCGAACGGGUGAGUAACACGUGGGUGAUCUGCCCUGCACUUCGGGAUAAGCCUGGGAAACUGGGUCUAAUACCGGAUAGGACUCCUGGCUUCAUGGUUGGGGGUGGAAAGCUUUUGCGGUGUGGGGUGGGCCCGCGGCCUAUCAGCUUGUUGGUGGGGUAAUGGCCUACCAAGGCGACGACGGGUAGCCGGCCUGAGAGGGUGACCGGUCACACUGGGACUGAGAUACGGCCCAGACUCCUACGGGAGGCAGCAGUGGGGAAUAUGGCACAAUGGGCGCAAGCCUGAUGCAGCGACGCCGCGUGAGGGAUGACGGCCUUCGGGUUGUAAACCUCUUUCAGCUAUGACGAAGCGCAAGUGACGGUAGUAGCAGAAGAAGGACCGGCCAGCUACGUGCCAGCCGCCGCAGUAA
rnacentral:rRNA from 1 species